rnacentral:rRNA from 1 species
GGUAGUAAGAGCCGAUGAAGGACGUGGUAAGCUGCGAUAAGCCUAGAUAAGUUGCAAUCGAACGUAAGAGUCUAGGAUUUCCGAAUGGAGCAAUCUAUUAAGAUGGAGUCUUAAUACGAAAGAGGGAACCGCGUGAACUGAAACAUCUAAGUAACGCGAGGAAAAGAAAGUAAAAACGAUACCCAAAGUAGCGGCGAGCGAAAUGGGUCAAGCCUAAACCUUAAAUAUGUCAAGGAUACAGCCGUUGUAUUUAAGGGGUUGUGGGACAGAGUGAUGAAGAACUGUAAGAUAUUCAAUAUAGUGUAUUGAUGAAUUAGAAUUGUCUGGAAAGGUGAACCGCAGAAGGUGAAAGUCCUGUAUAAGUAAAUCCUUACACAUAUAACUUUGCUCCCAAGUAACAUGGAACACGAGGAAUUCUGUGUGAAUCAGUGAGGACCAUAUCUCAUAAGGCUAAAUACUCUUACUAACCGAUAGCGCAUAGUACCGUGAGGGAAAGGUGAAAAGAACCCCUGGAGGGGAGUGAAAUAGAACCUGAAAUUGUGUGCUUACAAGCGGUCAGAGCCCAUUUGGGUGAUGGCGUGCCUUUUGGAGAAUGAUCCUGCGAGUUACGUUAAACGGCGAGGUUAAGUAUAACGGAGCCGAAGGGAAACCAAGUCUUAAUAGGGCGAUUUAGUCGUUUGGCGUAGACGCGAAACCUGGUGAUCUAAACCUGUCCAGGAUGAAGCUGUGGUAAGACACAGUGGAGGUCCUAACCCACCGCCGUUGAAAAGUUGGGGGAUGAGGUAGGUUUAGGGGUGAAAAGCCAAUCGAACCAGGAGAUAGCUCGUUCUCUCCGAAAUGCAUCUAGGUGCAGCCUUGAGUGUUCAAUUAUGGGGGUAGAGCACUGAAUGAUCUAGGGGGCAUAUUGCUUACUGAAAUCAAUCAAACUCCGAAUACCAUAAUUUAUAGCUCAGGAGUGAGACUAUGGGAGUUAACUUCCAUUGUCAAAAGGGAAACAACCCAGACCACCAGCUAAGGUCCCUAAUUAUAACUAAGUGGGAAAGGAGGUGGAGAUUCACAAACAACUAGGAGGUUGGCUUAGAAGCAGCCAUACCUUUAAAGAGUGCGUAAUAGCUCACUAGUCGAGAGUCUCUGCGCCGACAAUGUAACGGGGCUAAGUUAUAAACCGAAGCUGUGGAAUCCGUAAGGAUUGGUAGGAGAGCGUUCUGUAGGCCGUUGAAGGAGAAGGGUAACCGACUUUGGAGGUAUCAGAAGUGAGAAUGCAGGAAUAAGUAGCGAGAAAGGGGGCGAGAAUCCCCCUCGCCGGAAGACCAAGGUUUUCAGGGUAAAGCUUGUCUUCCCUGAGUAAGCCGGGACCUAAGCCCAGGCUAUAAUGCGUAGGCGAAUGGAAAACAGAUUAAUAUUUCUGUGCCAGUCAUUUAUUGUGAUGGAGGGACGCAGAAGGGUAUGCGCGCGGACGAACGGAAGUGUCCGUAGAAGUAUGUAGGAUGACUCAGUAGGAAAAUCCAUUGAGUUAUAUCUGAGGUAUAAUAUACAGUCGUAAGAUGAAUGCACAAAUCCCACGCUGCCAAGAAAAGCUUCUAACGUUAAUAUUUGACUGCCCGUACUGUAAACCGACACAGGUGGUCAGGAUGAGAAAUCUAAGGCGGACAGGCUAACUCUCGUUAAGGAACUCUGCAAAAUAACCUCGUAACUUCGGGAGAAGAGGAGCCCUUGGGUGUUAGUAUCCAUGCGAUACAAAGCGCUCGAGGGUCGCAGUGAAGAGGCUCAAGCAACUGUUUAACAAAAACACAGGUCUAUGCUAAGCUGGAAGGCGAUGUAUAUGGGCUGACACCUGCCCAGUGCUGGAAGGUUAAGAGGAGGAGUGAGAGCUCCGAAUUGAAGCCCCAGUGAACGGCGGCCGUAACUAUAACGGUCCUAAGGUAGCGAAAUUCCUUGUCGGGU